rnacentral:rRNA from 1 species
UACGUAGGGGGCAAGCGUUGUCCGGAAUCAUUGGGCGUAAAGCGCGCGUAGGCGGCCCGGUAAGUCCGCUCUGAAAGUCCAGGGCUCAACCCUGGAAUGCGGGUGGAUACUGCCGGGCUAGAGUCCGGAAGAGGCGAGUGGAAUUCCUGGUGUAGCGGCGGAAUGCGCAGAUAUCAGGAGGAACACCAAUAGCGAAGGCAGCUCGCUGGGACGGUACUGACGCUAAGGCGCGAAAGCGUGGGGAGCAAACAGG